rnacentral:tRNA from 1 species
GCCCGGUUAGCUCAGCGGUAGAGCAAUCGCUUGAUAAGCGAUAGGUCGCAGGUUCAAGUCCUGCACCAGGCACCA